UACGUAGGGUGCAAGCGUUAAUCGGAAUUACUGGGCGUAAAGCGUGCGCAGGCGGCCAUGCAAGACAGAUGUGAAAUCCCCGGGCUCAACCCUGGGAACUGCAUUUGUGACUGCAUGGCUAGAGUACGGCAGAGGGGAUGGAAUUCCGCGUGUAGCAGUGAAAUGCGUAGAUAUGCGGAGGAACACCGAUGGCGAAGGCAAUCCCCUGGGCCUGUACUGACGCUCAUGCACGAAGCGUGGGAGCGAAC
rnacentral:rRNA from 1 species